ACUGGGGGAGCAAGCGUUGUUCGGAUUUACUGGGCGUAAAGGGCGCGUAGGCGGCACAGCAAGUCGGGAGUGAAAGCCCGGGGCUCAACCCCGGAAUGUCUUUCGAAACUGCUGAGCUCGAGUGCGGAAGAGGCAACUGGAAUUCCCAGUGUAGCGGUGAAAUGCGUAGAUAUUGGGAAGAACACCUGAGGCGAAGGCGGGUUGCUGGGCCGACACUGACGCUGAGGCGCGAAAGCCAGGGGAGCGAACGGGA
rnacentral:rRNA from 1 species